UACGAAGGGGGCUAGCGUUGCUCGGAAUCACUGGGCGUAAAGGGCGCGUAGGCGGCUUUAUAAGUCGGGGGUGAAAGCCUGUGGCUCAACCACAGAAUUGCCUUCGAUACUGUAGAGCUUGAGACCGGAAGAGGUAAGUGGAACUGCGAGUGUAGAGGUGAAAUUCGUAGAUAUUCGCAAGAACACCAGUGGCGAAGGCGGCUUACUGGUCCGGUUCUGACGAUGAGGCGCGAAAGCGUGGGGAGCAAACAGG
rnacentral:rRNA from 1 species